ACGCGGUUGCUCCUCCGGCGGCGGCGGCUGCAGCGGCGCUGCUGGCGUCGGCGGCGGUGGCGGGAGCUGGCGGCGCUUUUAAUCCCGAAAAGAGGCGCUCGGGCCGCGGAGCCCAUCAAGGCAGCAGCGGCGGCUGGCGGGGGGCGGCGGCGGAGGACGCGCUGCUGGCGGCGGCGGCGGCGGCGGAGGAGCUGGAGCGCGCUCGGCGGAGCCCGGGGCGGGAGGCGGCCGCAGCCGGGGAGCCGGAGCCGCCGCCGCCGCUGCCGCCGAGCAGCAUGGUUGGCGGGGAGUUUACAGCCCCCGGAGCGGGCAGGGGCCACGGAGGAGAAGCGGCGGCGGCGGCGGCAGCGGCUCUAGGCUGUAAUUGGGAUGCAAAGCAGGCGGCGGCGGCGGCGGCGGCUGCGGCCGGGAGGAGGAGGAGGAGGCGGCGGCGGCGGCGGCGGCGGCUGCAGCGGUCGGAGGGGACGCGCUGGAAGUGGGAGCUGAUGAGUGAAAAGAAAAAAAAUCCAAAAUACAGGUCAGUGUAAAGUGUAGCUGACAGAAUGAAGACUGGUAAAUUCUGAAUUUUUCCAUAAUGCAUCAGAGAUGCAGCAGAACUAAAUUUCUUCUUGGAGAUGUUGAAAAACCAACGACUGGGAUGCCCCUAGCAGGAAGAAGUUUGAACAUGGCCCUCUCUGCCCCAGACUCAAGUCAUACAUCCACUCCUACAGUCCUGAGUGGGUGGACACCCGUGGGGUCUGUUACACGCAGCUUCUUGCUUUGUGCCUACAUUUUUGGUCAAAAAAUUUUCCCUCCCAUCUCACGAAGCCCCCAGAACACUUUUCAUCCAAAAUAUUUUUUAAGCCUGAAAGAUGACCCUAAGCCAAAUUCAGAUUUGUUCCUAAGUCAUUUCACUAGAAAAGAGCAAAAUGUCAAAGUCUUCUGCGUUGGCAUAAAGGUAGCAUGUGGAGUCUUAGUACCCAGGUCUUGUGAGUUCUGGGGGUGCCCAGGGGGUCGGGGGAGGGGGCUGCAGCUGGUGUCCAUAGGGCGGGUGUUAGCCAAGAAUGAGCUUCCCAAAUCCUCCCCCAGGAGGCUGGCCAGUUAGGAAACUGAGAGAAGCAUAGUUCUUUCCGAAAGUUACAAUAAGAAAAAAAUAUUGUGAGGGGUGUGUGUGUGUGUGUGUGUGUGUGUGUGUG
ensembl:lncRNA